ensembl:lncRNA
GGGGAAACUGAGGCCCGGGAGUGGCUCUCCGCGUCAGCGGCCGCGCGGGGAUCCCGGCGCCUCGCGUCCCCCUCCCGGGGCUUGGCGCGGGAGGCCUCUGGCCGGCACGCGUGUGCAGGGCUCGGCCGCCUCGCAGGCCGCCGGGCGGCCCGCCCUGGAAAACGCCUUUUCGCGCGGGUUUCCGUUUUUUGUGUGUGUGUUUUUUUUUUUAGCCUCUCGUGCCGCGUGCUGUCAUCCGCCCUCCCGCCGCCGCGGGGAAGUGUUCCCUGUCGUGGAAACACGAAGCCCCGGCCGCGUCCCAAACGUUUUCACUUCAGUGGUGACGAACAAAAUUCCCCGCAAACCCCGCGGCCCCGCGCGGCGGUUUACACGCAGACGCGGACCCCGCGGCGAGCUCCCGGGGAAAGCUGGGCCCGCUCCCCAGCCCUCCAGGUCGGGAAAGCGCGCCCCGCGCGGGGCCGAGGGACUGCGGGGUGGGCGACUCCUCCCGAGCCGCGCUCGUUCAGGCAUCUCCGCCCCUUCCCCCCGGAGACCCAACUAUUUCCAAAGCUUUAUGAAUUUUAAAGGGAGAAAGGCUUCUUGACAACGGGGAGGAAAAGGAGAUUCUGACUCAGCAACCGACUUGUUGAGACUUGCAAAACGGAAGAGGAGAGCUUUCCAUGGUAGAGCUCUUGUUGGAAGCGACGGAAGAGGCCCCCAACCUGUGUAUUUCCUCAAGAAACAUUUAACAUCGAGAAGUAGAUAGAUGGAUAUGUAUAUGAGGGUCUAGAUAAAGAAACAGCAGAGUGAUCCAUACUAACAGAUUCUCCAAACUUCCAACACAAACAGAACAGUGUUUUCCUGCCUCUGGAGUCCUUGAGCAAUGUUUGGCUGAGAGACCCACGAGAGGAGUGUUACAAGUGUGAUCUCGGCAGGCUGGGUGCCUAGGACUGCCUCCUUCCUGCACCCGCUCUCCAGCCUGGGCCCACGGCCAAGAGCACCAGAGUUCACCAGAAAGACAAACACUGAGACGCUCCCCAAACACUUGGACUUUAAUUUGCUUCAUGAAAUGCCAGGUUAUUUUCUUUUUCUGGCAGAAUUGGUUGCGCCUCCUCCAAUCUCACAGUCCUGCUCCUGGUAGCAGUUUUCUCGGAAUCUCACCAGUUCAAUUUCAUCUAUCUAUCUAUCUAUCUAUGCAUGCUGUGGUUGUAUCUGCUGCUGCUGCUCCUAAGUCACUUCAGUCGUGUCCGACUCUGUGCGACCCUAUAGAUGGCAGCUCACCAGGCUCCCCCAUCCCUGGGAUUCUCCAGGCAAGAAUACUGGAGUGGGUUGCCAUUUCCUUCUCCAAUGCAUGAAAGUAAAAAGUGAAAGUGAAGUAGCUCAGUCAUGCCUGACUCAGCGACCCCAUGGACUGAAGCCACCAGGAUCCUCCAUCCAUGGGAUUUUCCAGAGUGCAUCAGGUGGAAUGCUGGGCUGGAUGACUCACAAGCCAGAAUCAACAUUGCCAGGAAAAAUAUCAACAACCUCAGAUAAGCAGAUGAUAAUACCACUUUAAUGGCAGAAAGUAAAGAGGAACCAAAGAGCCUCCUGAUGAAGGUGAAAGAGGAGAGUGAAAAAGCUGGCUUUAAAUUCAGCAUUCAAAAAAUAAAAAUCAUGGCAUCCGCUCUCAUGACUUCAUAGCAAAUAGAUGGGCAAAAAGUGAAAACAAUGAUAGAUUCCAUUUUCUUGGGCUCCAAAAUCACUUUGAAUGGUGACUGCAGCCACAAAAUAUAAAGAUUCUUGCUCCUUUUAAGAAAGGCUAUGACAAACCCAGACAGCGUAUUAAAAAGCAGAGACAUUACAUUACCGACAAAGGUCUGUCUAGUCAAAUCUGUGGUCUUUCCAGUAGUCAUGUAUGAAUAUGGGAGUUGGACCAUAAAGAAAGCUGAGCACCGAAGAAUUAAUGCUUUUGAG